CUCUAGGCUGUCAAGGUCCGUGGACUCACGCACCUUAGUGGCCAAUUUCCACUCAUUGGCUCACCUGGUGUCACAAGUCAAGGGGCAUGGCACCCACCUGCUGCAGAAAGACCCACCAGUAAGGUACCGGGUUUUCCAUGAACGCAAUUGCCAUGGAAAUUGAGGGCAGAUGGCAGUGGAUUCUAUGGGAAGCUUCACAGAGGAUGAUUUGCCAUUUUGGAAAAUGGCGUCGGCAACAGCACCACCGUUUGGAGUAUCUGAGUUGCUGUCAUGAGACACAUGAGUCGCUGGAGAGUUACAGCUGCUGCAUUCCUGAUCAACCUUUUCAUGUACCAGGAAACAUACAUAUGACCAAAUGACCAAAACAAAACCAAAACCCAGUAAAGCCCCAAAUUCCCCAAACCAAAAGACCCCUGGAGUUAUAGAAAUUCAUCCCUAAGCCCUUAUG